AGGCGCUAUGUACAGCUAAAUCACGCUGAAUGAUUGGGGUUGUCUGUAAAAUGUAUAACUCAUAUAAUUCUGCAUAAAUUUGUGGUUGUAAUAGAUCGUAUUUCUGACCUAAUGGCCAGUCUCAAAACACGAUUUUACGAACUUUCCUCGAUCGAAAAUAAUUGCAAAAUUGCCUCUGAAAAUACUUAAAACUCUUAAUAUCUCAGUUAUACCUAAAGUAAUUUCGCUACAAAAUAUUAUAAUUAUUUGUCAUCUGUUACUAAAGAAAUUGGCCAAACGAUAUUUUAAAUACAAAGAAUAUUACAUUUAAAAAAAAAUAUUUAUUCAUUUGGCACUUAGGUCCUUGUAUUCUGAAUCGCGUCUUCUCUGUUACUCGUAUUCCAUUAGACAGUGAGCGUUGAAUCGCGCUGCUAGACGGAUGUGCGCUAAGUUGUGCUCUCGGACGUAUAAUAUUUUAUUCAGGAAAAAUUGUUUUAGUUUUAUAAGUUUGAGACAUUCGUGUAGCAUAAGUUUUAUAGACAUAAUUAUAGUGUUAAUAAUAAUUAAAUAUAAGUAAUAAAUUGAUAUUAUAGUAUAAAUUAUUUAAAAUGCGCCCGAAAUUGAAGAAUAUACAAUAUAAAAAACAACAAAAGCAUAUGCUCGAAGUUGUUCGGAAAAGACUUUUGAAGAUUAAUUCUGAAAAUUCAUCAAUUCGACCAGUUUUGCAAGAAAUACAGAAUUCUCAGCACGAAUGCCCUGCAAAAUCGCUGACAAUACCAACAGCUGAACCAACACCAAUCUCAAUAGAUACAGGAGCUAUGCAGAAACCAAAUUAUGAUGAGUAAACGGUUUAUUAAAUACUACACGGCAAAAGUUGUUUUGCCUUGCCGGCAUUAAAAAAUAGGGAUGGUUUGAUAAACAAAAUUUAGGGUUACUUUACUUCUACCUAUUCUUCUACUAAAGUUAUUUCAAAUAUAACAAUAAGUAGUGAGAUAUUUUUCAUAAAUCUUAGAACACAUAACUAUUUAUAUUUUUUCACAUAACUAAUUUAGCUGAAAGUCGAUGUAAUUUUACUAUGUUUUAGAGAAGUUGCCGAGGAGCAGUUAUACACUAAGAUCGAUCGAGGUACAUAUGAACCAGUGCAAGGUCGAAGAAUCAUAAAUAUUAUGCAUUUCACUUAAAUAAUAUAGCAGCAAUUGCCCAUGGUAUGAAAAAUGAACACAUUGCCAUUAAACAACUUACAUUACAAGAUUAAGUCGUUAUUGACCCUUGUGGUCUAUUCGUGGACCAUGACUAUCCUUUUAUUGGAGCUACACCCGAUAGAUUAAUAGGAGAUGACACAAUUGUGGAAAUAAAAUGUCCGAUAGUGACCUUCAAGAAUGGGCUUAAAGAAUCCAUUCAACAAAAUAAGAUACAAAUAUGGAAUUACAAUAAGAAAACUAAACGUAUAAAUAAGAAUACUAACUGGUAUUAUCAGAUACAAGGGCAGUUACACGUUUCACGAAGAGCAAAGUGUUUAUUUGGAGUAUGGAGUGGUGAAAAUAAGCCUCUCAAAACAGAAACGAUCUUAAGGGAGAAAAAAAUGAAAGAAAUACUUCUCAAUUUUUAUAUGGAUUGGCUAUUGCCAGAAUUGGUUGAUUUACGAAGAGCGCGAGGUAUGCCAAGAGAAGAAAAUCCUCCUCCUCCUAAUUCACUCUGUGAUAAAAAAGAAAAUUACCUUUGUAACAGCAGACUGCUUAGUUUUAACGAAUUAUAAUACUACUGGAAAGCGUAAUAAUGGAGGAGAGAUAUAAUUGAAUGUAUUGUAUUUAUCUUUAUUUAUUAAUUGUAUUAUUUCAUAAGUCUCAUGACAUUUAUAUGCCAUUUUUAUUUUAGAUCGGUCGAAGAAAAGGUAGAAUAUGCAUUGGCGUUUUAUAUAGAGUUAGCACAGGAAGUGGAUAUUGUGUGUCUAUUGUGAAUAUCAACAUGUAUAAAAUGUCGACAAUAAUUACUUCCAAUAUAUCUCAGUUAUAUUUAUUCUACUGUACUUUGUACAAUUUCGAAAAAGAACACUAGAUAUUAGAUAUAGAAAUGAUUUAGAAAUUAUUUAGAUAUAAAAAUGAUCAUUAGAAAUAAGAUAUAAAAAUGUUGAUUCUUUGUAGAUUGAAGAUAAGUAAUAGGUCAAUUUAAAGGCUUAUUGAUGCAUAUUAACCAAAUAUAAAGACCGAUCAAUUUAAAUUAUAUAUGUUUUUAAUUUUUACAUACCCCUUUAAAAUAACUAUAAUAUUGAGAACCAUUUUUUCGUAGGCAAUUAAUUAACUGGUUUUUUUUUCAAUAAAAAAAUAACAUCAUAAUAUGUUCUACCUGCUGAUCAGUAUGAAGGCGGCGCUUAGCCGGUGUUGUCUUAAUUUAAGCCAUUUCUGACAGGACCACAUGAAACAACACUGUCUGCAAAAUCUAAAUCUAUACGAUAUUCUCACAUGGCUUAAAUUAAUACAUCACCGGCUUAGCAUCGCCUUCAUACUAAUCAGCAAGUUGAACAUAUUAUGAUGUUAUUUUUCGCUUUUUAGUUUAGUGGGUAAGUUUUUAGGUUUUGAAGUCGGUUGUAUUUUUUUUUUAUUAAAAUUUUUAUUAUUUUUCCAUUUUUAGUGUAAAAUUUCAUCUCAAACUAAUACAUCAGACCCCUAAUGACAGUCACAACCCAUCUUGGUACAAAAUUCUCAGCAAUACAAAUUAAUCAAGCCCAAGCACAAGGUAGCUACCGUAAACCGUUAAGGGGUUCCCUUAAUUGACCUUGGUCUUCAUCAACAGACCCCUAAUAACAGACACAACUCAUCUAGGUAGAAAGUUCUCAGCAAUACGAAUUAAUCAAGGCCAAACACAAGGUAGUUACUGUAAACUGUUAAGGAGUUCCCUUAAUUGUCCUUGGUAUUCAUCACCAAACCCCUAUUGUGGAAAGUUCUCAUUAAUACAAAUUAAUCAAGCCCAAACACUGCUGUAAAUCGCCGAAGAGUUCCCUCGUCUUUUUUAUGGCUCCAUCAUCAGAUCGAUUUUAAACCUUCAUGAAAUUUUAGUGUUUAAAAGUACUAAAUAGAAAAGCUUACGAACACACUAGACACCCAUAUAAUUUUCGAAAGUUCCUCUCAAUUUCUCCAGGAUUCCAUCAUCAGAUCUUGACAUGAUGGCAAUGGGACCAAAUGGGGACUAUACCGUUUCAAACAAAAAAAGAAUUUUUGAAAUAGGUCCAGGCGUCUUUGAGUAAUCGGUGUACGUAAGAACCUCCUCCUUUUUGAAGUCGGUUAAAAAACUAAAUCAAUACAUCAAAAGGCCAAAGAGCAAGAACCAAUAUUUAUGUAUACAUCAUUAUAAAUGUUAAAUAUAUUUGUGUAAAAAGUU